rnacentral:rRNA from 1 species
UACGGAGGGGGUUAGCGUUGUUCGGAAUUACUGGGCGUAAAGCGCGCGUAGGCGGAUUAGAAAGUUAGGGGUGAAAUCCCAGGGCUCAACCCUGGAACUGCCUCUAAAACUCCUAGUCUUGAGGUCGAGAGAGGUGAGUGGAAUUCCGAGUGUAGAGGUGAAAUUCGUAGAUAUUCGGAGGAACACCAGUGGCGAAGGCGGCUCACUGGCUCGAUACUGACGCUGAGGUGCGAAAGCGUGGGGAGCAAAC